UACAGAGGGGGCAAGCGUUAUUCGGAAUUAUUGGGCGUAAAGGGCGCGUAGGCGGCCUGGCAAGUGGAUGGUGAAAUCCCUCGGCUUAACCGGGGAACUGCGUCUGAUACUGGAUGGCUCGAGUUUGGGAGAGGGAUGCGGAAUUCCAGGUGUAGCGGUAGAAAUGCGUAGAUAUCUGGAGGAACACCGGUGGCGAAGGCGGCAUCCUGGACCAACACUGACGCUGAGGAGCGAAAGCCAGGGGAGCAAACGGG
rnacentral:rRNA from 1 species